rnacentral:rRNA from 1 species
GACGAACGCUGGCGGCGUGCCUAAUACAUGCAAGUCGAGCGGAAGUUGAAGAGCUUGCUCUUCAACUUUAGCGGCGGACGGGUGAGUAACACGUGGGCAACCUGCCCUGCAGAUCGGGAUAACUCCGGGAAACCGGUGCUAAUACCGAAUAGUUUUCGCCACCUCCUGGUGGCGUACGGAAAGACGGUUUCGGCUGUCACUUCAGGAUGGGCCCGCGGCGCAUUAGCUAGUUGGUGGGGUAACGGCCCACCAAGGCGACGAUGCGUAGCCGACCUGAGAGGGUGAUCGGCCACACUGGGACUGAGACACGGCCCAGACUCCUACGGGAGGCAGCAGUAGGGAAUCUUCCGCAAUGGACGAAAGUCUGACGGAGCAACGCCGCGUGAGUGACGAAGGUUUUCGGAUCGUAAAACUCUGUUGUGAGGGAAGAACAAGUACCACUUAACUACUGGUACCUUGACGGUACUUCACCAGAAAGCCACGGCUAACUACGUGCCAGCCGCCGCCGUAA